rnacentral:rRNA from 1 species
GGGUUGUGAGGUUAAGCGACUAAGCGUACACGGUGGAUGCCCUGGCAGUCAGAGGCGAUGAAGGACGUGCUAAUCUGCGAUAAGCGUCGGUAAGGUGAUAUGAACCGUUAUAACCGGCGAUUUCCGAAUGGGGAAACCCAGUGUGAUUCGUCACACUAUCAUUAACUGAAUCCAUAGGUUAAUGAGGCGAACCGGGGGAACUGAAACAUCUAAGUACCCCGAGGAAAAGAAAUCAACCGAGAUUCCCCCAGUAGCGGCGAGCGAACGGGGAGGAGCCCAGAGCCUGAAUCAGUGUGUGUGUUAGUGGAAGCGUCUGGAAAGGCGCGCGAUACAGGGUGACAGCCCCGUACACAAAAAUGCACAUNNNNNNNNNNNNNNNNNNNNNNNNNNNNNNNNNNNNNNNNNNNNNNNNNNNNNNNNNNNGGGCGUUAAGUUGCAGGGUAUAGACCCGAAACCCGGUGAUCUAGCCAUGGGCAGGUUGAAGGUUGGGUAACACUAACUGGAGGACCGAACCGACUAAUGUUGAAAAAUUAGCGGAUGACUUGUGGCUGGGGGUGAAAGGCCAAUCAAACCGGGAGAUAGCUGGUUCUCCCCGAAAGCUAUUUAGGUAGCGCCUCGUGAAUUCAUCUCCGGGGGUAGAGCACUGUUUCGGCAAGGGGGUCAUCCCGACUUACCAACCCGAUGCAAACUGCGAAUACCGGAGAAUGUUAUCACGGGAGACACACGGCGGGUGCUAACGUCCGUCGUGAAGAGGGAAACAACCCAGACCGCCAGCUAAGGUCCCAAAGUCAUGGUUAAGUGGGAAACGAUGUGGGAAGGCCCAGACAGCCAGGAUGUUGGCUUAGAAGCAGCCAUCAUUUAAAGAAAGCGUAAUAGCUCACUGGUCGAGUCGGCCUGCGCGGAAGAUGUAACGGGGCUAAACCAUGCACCGAAGCUGCGGCAGCGACACUGUGUGUUGUUGGGUAGGGGAGCGUUCUGUAAGCCUGUGAAGGUGUGCUGUGAGGCAUGCUGGAGGUAUCAGAAGUGCGAAUGCUGACAUAAGUAACGAUAAAGCGGGUGAAAAGCCCGCUCGCCGGAAGACCAAGGGUUCCUGUCCAACGUUAAUCGGGGCAGGGUGAGUCGACCCCUAAGGCGAGGCCGAAAGGCGUAGUCGAUGGGAAACAGGUUAAUAUUCCUGUACUUGGUGUUACUGCGAAGGGGGGACGGAGAAGGCUAUGUUGGCCGGGCGACGGUUGUCCCGGUUUAAGCGUGUAGGCUGGUUUUCCAGGCAAAUCCGGAAAAUCAAGGCUGAGGCGUGAUGACGAGGCACUACGGUGCUGAAGCAACAAAUGCCCUGCUUCCAGGAAAAGCCUCUAAGCAUCAGGUAACAUCAAAUCGUACCCCAAACCGACACAGGUGGUCAGGUAGAGAAUACCAAGGCGCUUGAGAGAACUCGGGUGAAGGAACUAGGCAAAAUGGUGCCGUAACUUCGGGAGAAGGCACGCUGAUAUGUAGGUGAAGUCCCUCGCGGAUGGAGCUGAAAUCAGUCGAAGAUACCAGCUGGCUGCAACUGUUUAUUAAAAACACAGCACUGUGCAAACACGAAAGUGGACGUAUACGGUGUGACGCCUGCCCGGUGCCGGAAGGUUAAUUGAUGGGGUCAGCGCAAGCGAAGCUCUUGAUCGAAGCCCCGGUAAACGGCGGCCGUAACUAUAACGGUCCUAAGGUAGCGAAAUUCCUUGUCGGGUAAGUUCCGACCUGCACGAAUGGCGUAAUGAUGGCCAGGCUGUCUCCACCCGAGACUCAGUGAAAUUGAACUCGCUGUGAAGAUGCAGUGUACCCGCGGCAAGACGGAAAGACCCCGUGAACCUUUACUAUAGCUUGACACUGAACAUUGAGCCUUGAUGUGUAGGAUAGGUGGGAGGCUUUGAAGUGUGGACGCCAGUCUGCAUGGAGCCGACCUUGAAAUACCACCCUUUAAUGUUUGAUGUUCUAACGUGGACCCGUGAUCCGGGUUGCGGACAGUGUCUGGUGGGUAGUUUGACUGGGGCGGUCUCCUCCUAAAGAGUAACGGAGGAGCACGAAGGUUGGCUAAUCCUGGUCGGACAUCAGGAGGUUAGUGCAAUGGCAUAAGCCAGCUUGACUGCGAGCGUGACGGCGCGAGCAGGUGCGAAAGCAGGUCAUAGUGAUCCGGUGGUUCUGAAUGGAAGGGCCAUCGCUCAACGGAUAAAAGGUACUCCGGGGAUAACAGGCUGAUACCGCCCAAGAGUUCAUAUCGACGGCGGUGUUUGGCACCUCGAUGUCGGCUCAUCACAUCCUGGGGCUGAAGUAGGUCCCAAGGGUAUGGCUGUUCGCCAUUUAAAGUGGUACGCGAGCUGGGUUUAGAACGUCGUGAGACAGUUCGGUCCCUAUCUGCCGUGGGCGCUGGAGAACUGAGGGGGGCUGCUCCUAGUACGAGAGGACCGGAGUGGACGCAUCACUGGUGUUCGGGUUGUCAUGCCAAUGGCACUGCCCGGUAGCUAAAUGCGGAAGAGAUAAGUGCUGAAAGCAUCUAAGCACGAAACUUGCCCCGAGAUGAGUUCUCCCUGACCCUUUAAGGGUCCUGAAGGAACGUUGAAGACGACGACGUUGAUAGGCCGGGUGUGUAAGCGCAGCGAUGCGUUGAGCUAACCGGUACUAAUGAACCGUGAGGCUUAACCUUACAACGCCGAAGGUGUUU